UCAGGACGAACGCUGGCGGCGUGCCUAAUACAUGCAAGUCGAGCGGACCUCUUCGGAGGUCAGCGGCGGACGGGUGAGUAACACGUGGGCAACCUGCCUGUAAGACUGGGAUAACUCCGGGAAACCGGAGCUAAUACCGGAUAGUAUCUUGAACCGCAUGGUUCAAGUUGGAAAGACGGUUUCGGCUGUCACUUACAGAUGGGCCCGCGGCGCAUUAGCUAGUUGGUGAGGUAAUGGCUCACCAAGGCAACGAUGCGUAGCCGACCUGAGAGGGUGAUCGGCCACACUGGGACUGAGACACGGCCCAGACUCCUACGGGAGGCAGCAGUAGGGAAUCUUCCGCAAUGGACGAAAGUCUGACGGAGCAACGCCGCGUGAGUGAUGAAGGUUUUCGGAUCGUAAAACUCUGUUGUUAGGGAAGAACAAGUGCGAGAGUAACUGCUCGCACCUUGACGGUACCUAACCAGAAAGCCACGGCUAACUACGUGCCAGCAGCCGCGGUAAUACGUAGGUGGCAAGCGUUGUCCGGAAUUAUUGGGCGUAAAGCGCGCGCAGGCGGUUUCUUAAGUCUGAUGUGAAAGCCCCCGGCUCAACCGGGGAGGGUCAUUGGAAACUGGGAAACUUGAGUGCAGAAGAGGAGAGUGGAAUUCCACGUGUAGCGGUGAAAUGCGUAGAGAUGUGGAGGAACACCAGUGGCGAAGGCGACUCUCUGGUCUGUAACUGACGCUGAGGCGCGAAAGCGUGGGGAGCGAACAGGAUUAGAUACCCUGGUAGUCCACGCCGUAAACGAUGAGUGCUAAGUGUUAGAGGGUUUCCGCCCUUUAGUGCUGCAGCUAACGCAUUAAGCACUCCGCC
rnacentral:rRNA from 1 species